rnacentral:rRNA from 1 species
AGUGAACGCUGGCGGUAGGCCUAACACAUGCAAGUCGAACGGCAGCACAGUAAGAGCUUGCUCUUACGGGUGGCGAGUGGCGGACGGGUGAGGAAUACAUCGGAAUCUACUUUUUCGUGGGGGAUAACGUAGGGAAACUUACGCUAAUACCGCAUACGACCUACGGUUGAAAGCAGUGGAUCUUCGGACCUUGCGCGGUUGAAUGAGCCGAUGUCGGAUUAGCUAGUUGGCGGGGUAAAGGCCCACCAAGGCGACGAUCCGUAGCUGGUCUGAGAGGAUGAUCAGCCACACUGGAACUGGGACACGGUCCAGACUCCUACGGGAGGCAGCAGUGGGGAAUAUUGGACAAUGGGCGCAAGCAUGAUCCAGCCAUACCGCGUGGGUGAAGAAGGCGUUCGGGUUGUAAAGCCCUUUUGUUGGGAAAGAAACGCAGCAGGUUAAUACCCCGCUGUUCUGACGGUACCCAAAGAAUAAGCACCGGCUAACUUCGUG